UCCGGGGCUUAGUGCCGGAGCUAACGCAAUAAGCACUCCGCCUGGGGAGUACGACCGCAAGGUUGAAACUCAAAGGAAUUGACGGGGGCCCGCACAAGCGGUGGAGCAUGUGGUUUAAUUCGAAGCAACGCGAAGAACCUUACCAGGUCUUGACAUCCCGAUGCUAUUCUUAGAGAUAGGAAGUUACUUCGGUACAUCGGAGACAGGUGGUGCAUGGUUGUCGUCAGCUCGUGUCGUGAGAUGUUGGGUUAAGUCCCGCAACGAGCGCAACCCUUAUUGUUAGUUGCCAUCAUUAAGUUGGGCACUCUAGCGAGACUGCCGGUAAUAAACCGGAGGAAGGUGGGGAUGACGUCAAAUCAUCAUGCCCCUUAUGACCUGGGCUACACACGUGCUACAAUGGUCGGUACAACGAGUUGCGAGCCGGUGACGGCAAGCUAAUCUCUGAAAGCCGAUCUCAGUUCGGAUUGGAGGCUGCAACUCGCCUCCAUGAAGUCGGAAUCGCUAGUAAUCGCGGAUCAGCACGCCGCGGUGAAUACGUUCCCGGGCCUUGUACACACCGCCCGUCACACCACGAGAGUUUGUAACACCCGAAGUCGGUGAGGUANCCUUUUAGGGG
rnacentral:rRNA from 1 species